GUUUUCUUUCCCUCUCCUUUUGUUCGCCAUUCCCUUAGGUACGCAGACUGCAGGCUGAUGUCAAUUUGGGGAUCUCCAACUAAUUAGAGGAGGGAGACCCUGAUUGGACAAACCAGGAGGGCACACCUUGAUAAGGAGACUCACCUGUGGCUGGGCGUGGCUCUCUUCCCUCCUUUGAAUUGUUUGGCACAUGUGUAAAGCUCCUUUGCUGUAUUUCUUUUGUUUGAUGGUUGUGGUGGGAGUAAAAGUGGACUAGCCGCCUGACUGUGAGGACAUGAAGCUGCUCACUGGAAACUCUCCCUGCUGCUGCAGAAAUAUGUGAGGAGUCCUCAGUGUUUAGAUCAGAGGGAGUCUGGACUCUUGUGGUGGUGGAGCAGGGCUGAAGAACCA